GUAGUGGUGGUUCAGUGGUAGAAUCCUUGCCUUCCAUGCAGGAGACCCAGGUUCGAUUCCCAGACAAUAUA
rnacentral:tRNA from 1 species